rnacentral:rRNA from 1 species
UUAACAUGCAGUCGAACGGCAGCACGGGCUUCGGCCUGGUGGCGAGUGGCGAACGGGUGAGUAAUACAUCGGAACGUGCCCUGACGUGGGGGAUAACUAGUCGAAAGAUUAGCUAACACCGCAUACGACCCGAGGGUGAAAGCGGGGGACCGGUAACGGCCUCGCGCGACAGGAGCGGCCGAUGUCUGAUUAGCUAGUUGGUGGGGUAAGAGCCUACCAAGGCGACUAUCAGUAGCUGGUCUGAGAGGAUGAUCAGCCACACUGGGACUGAGACACGGCCCAGACUCCUACGGGGGGCAGCAGUGGGGAAUUUUGGACAAUGGGGGCAACCCUGAUCCAGCAAUACCGCGUGGGUGAAGAAGGCCUUCGGGUUGUAAAGCCCUUUUGUCCGGAAAGAAAUACCGCUGGUUAAUACCCGGCGUCGAUGACGGUACCGGAAGAAUAAGCACCGGCUAACUUCGUGCCAGCAGCCGCGGUAAUACGUAGGGUGCAAGCGUUAAUCGGAAUUACUGGGCGUAAAGCGUGCGCAGGCGGUUUGAUAAGUCUGGCGUGAAAUCCCCGAGCUCAACUUGGGAAUGGCGCUUGAGACUGUCACGCUAGAGUGUGUCAGAGGGAGGUAGAAUUCCAGGUGUAGCAGUGAAAUGCGUAGAGAUGUGAAGGAAUACCGAUGGCGAAGGCAGCCCCCUGGGACCAUCACUGACACUCAUGCACGAAAAGCGUGGGGAGCAAACAGGGAUUAGAUACCCUGGUAGUCCACGCCCCUAAACGAUGUCAACUAGUUGUUUGGGG